rnacentral:rRNA from 1 species
UAAACGUCUCAGUUCGGAUUGUAGUCUGCAACUCGACUACAUGAAGCUGGAAUCGCUAGUAAUCGCGAAUCAGAAUGUCGCGGUGAAUACGUUCCCGGGUCUUGUACACACCGCCCGUCACACCAUGGGAGUCAGCAACGCCCGAAGCCGGUGACCCAACCGAAAGGAGGGAGCCGUCGAAGGUGGGGCCGAUAACUGGGGUGAAGUCGUAACAAGGUACC